rnacentral:rRNA from 1 species
GACGAACGCUGGCGGCGUGCCUAAUACAUGCAAGUCGAACGGUCUUUUCUAUGGAAGCUUGCUUCCGCUGAGAAGGUAGUGGCGAACGGGUGAGUAACACGUGGGUAACCUGCCCAUAAGAGGGGGAUAACAUCCGGAAACGGGUGCUAAUACCGCAUAGUUUUCUUGAUCGCAUGAUCGAGAAAGGAAAGACGGCCUUUGUGCUGUUGUUUAUGGAUGGGCCCGCGGCGUAUUAGUUAGUUGGUGAGGUAACGGCUCACCAAGACGAUGAUACGUAGCCGACCUGAGAGGGUGAUCGGCCACAUUGGGACUGAGACACGGCCCAAACUCCUACGGGAGGCAGCAGUAGGGAAUCUUCCGCAAUGGACGAAAGUCUGACGGAGCAACGCCGCGUGAGUGAAGAAGGUUUUCGGAUCGUAAAACUCUGUUGUCAGAGAAGAACAAGUCGGAGAGUAACUGCUCCGGCCUUGACGGUAUCUGACCAGAAAGCCACGGCUAACUACGUGCCAGCAGCCGCCGUAACAC